UGACAGAGGCCAAGCGUCCCCUCGCUCCUCUCUGUGUUCUCCCUCUGUGAGAGGAGAAUGGUCUCUCCUGCUCUGUCUCACCACCGUGUGUUUGAUUCUUCUUCCAGUGUGGCAGAGAAAGGAGCCGACGGCUGCAAGGACCUGAUGGAGGCCUUCGCCGCCUGUGUGAAGAGCGCGGCCGAGGGGACGUCAUGAGGAGCGGCCCUCACACCUCAAAUGUCAGGAUCUCCCAUUAUUUGGUCCACUGCACUGACUCCUCCAAGUUCCCAGCAUUCCCUUCUGCACAACAGCACCGAACUGAAUGACGACAACAACAACAACAACAAUGACGAUGGUGAUGGUACAUGCCGUGUUGAUUCAGGCUCAUUUGGGAUCUGGCAGCAGUAACCACAGUCUCUCUCUCCCCCCCGUUUUAGGCUUUUCUGGUGUCCCUCAGUCUUACCCCCCUCCCCCCUCUCCCCUCUAUGGCUGAUAUACAGAACAUCGACUUGUAGUCGCUUCCAGAGAGCCGAUGGGCUGUAAUGUAAAUUGCCGACUUGAACUUAUAAAUGGAAAUAAAAGUAUGAAAUAUU